GCUAUCAUGCCUUUGCCAGCUUUUGUUAUUUUUUAUUGCCGACAACAGCGGUGCGCGUUAUUACGCGCGUGAAUCAUUAUCAGAAG
rnacentral:ncRNA from 1 species